GACGAACGCUGGCGGCGUGCUUAACACAUGCAAGUCGAGCGAAUGGAUUGAGAGCUUGCUCUUAUGAAGUUAGCGGCGGACGGGUGAGUAACACGUGGGUAACCUGCCCAUAAGACUGGGAUAACUCCGGGAAACCGGGGCUAAUACCGGAUAACAUUUUGAACCGCAUGGUUCGAAAUUGAAAGGCGGCUGCGGCUGUCACUUAUGGAUGGACCCGCGUCGCAUUAGCUAGUUGGUGAGGUAACGGCUCACCAAGGCAACGAUGCGUAGCCGACCUGAGAGGGUGAUCGGCCACACUGGGACUGAGACACGGCCCAGACUCCUACGGGAGGCAGCAGUAGGGAAUCUUCCGCAAUGGACGAAAGUCUGACGGAGCAACGCCGCGUGAGUGAUGAAGGCUUUCGGGUCGUAAAACUCUGUUGUUAGGGAAGAACAAGUGCUAGUUGAAUAAGCUGGCACCUUGACGGUACCUAACCAGAAAGCCACGGCUAACUACGUGCCAGCAGCCGCGGUAA
rnacentral:rRNA from 1 species